GAUGAACGCUGGCGGCGUGCCUAAUACAUGCAAGUCGAGCGAACAGAUGAGGAGCUUGCUCCUCUGACGUUAGCGGCGGACGGGUGAGUAACACGUGGAUAACCUACCUAUAAGACUGGGAUAACUUCGGGAAACCGGAGCUAAUACCGGAUAAUAUAUUGAACCGCAUGGUUCAAUAGUGGAGGACGGUUUUGCUGUCACUUAUAGAUGGAUCCGCGCCGCAUUAGCUAGUUGGUAAGGUAACGGCUUACCAAGGCAACGAUGCGUAGCCGACCUGAGAGGGUGAUCGGCCACACUGGAACUGAGACACGGUCCAGACUCCUACGGGAGGCAGCAGUAGGGAAUCUUCCGCAAUGGGCGAAAGCCUGACGGAGCAACGCCGCGUGAGUGAUGAAGGUCUUCGGAUCGUAAAACUCUGUUAUUAGGGAAGAACAAAUGUGUAAGUAACUAUGCACGUCUUGACGGUACCUAAUCAGAAAGCCACGGCUAACUACGUG
rnacentral:rRNA from 1 species